UCUCCGUUGGUGAACCAGCGGAGGGAUCAUUACCGAGUUUACAACUCCCAAACCCCUGUGAACAUACCUGUUUUGUUGCUUCGGCGGUGCCCUCGCUCCCGCGGCGAGGCCCGCCAGAGGACCCAAACAAACUCUUUGACUUUGAUCUAGGAUUAUACUUCUGAGUGAUACAAAAAAUAAAAUCAAAACUUUCAACAACGGAUCUCUUGGUUCUG
rnacentral:misc_RNA from 1 species